rnacentral:rRNA from 1 species
AGUCUUUGGUAAUAAAAUCAUAGAUGGUUCCUGCCCAGUGAUUUAUUAAACGGCCGCAGUUUGUGCUAAGGUAGCAUAAUCAUUUGCCCUUUAAUUGGGGGCUAGAAUGAAUGGAUUUAUGGAGAACAACUGUUUCUUUAUGAUUUGUAAAAAUUAAUAAAAGUGUGAAGAGGCACUUAUAGAAAAGGGGGACCAAAAGACCCUAAGAUCUUUAAUUUCGGAGAAUUAAUUCAUAAGAAAUUUUUGUUGGGGAAACAUAAAGUUUUGACUACUUUAAAUUUAUAAAAUCUAUCCUUAAGUAUAAAUGGUAUUAGUUACCUUAGGGAUAACAGACCAAUUUCUUUUAAAAGUUCAUAUUUACAAAGAAGUUUGGCACCUCGAUGUUGGCUUAAGAAUAUUUUAAGUGCAGCAGCUUAAAUGAAAGGCUUGUUCCGCCUAUGGUUUCUU